AGGUGAAGAAAACCACAAUGACACAGUGACAGGAACAGACUUGAGUUGCUGUUCCGCCACAAAAACACGUCGACUAGUCCGACUGAAGGGAUGGAAACAUUCUUCUUCAUCUCAUCUGCUCUAAACCAGCUGCUCUGACUGUGAGUCCCAGCAGAUCUCAGUUCUUUCAAUAUGACUGUGUCUCUGAGCUAUGAGGAGAAUAGCAGCUCUGCUGGAUGGACUGUAUGAAGGAACACAACCAGAGAAACCAGGACUCAGAGUGGGAAUGGAUGGGGGAAACCAGCUGGUUCAUCAGCUUCCUGUUCACAUGACAGUGGGGUUUACUGGUGUUGUUCGUCCAGAGAGGGAGCAGCCAGCAGCAGCAUCCAGCUCACUGUCACUGAUAGAGAGGAUGUGUGAUGGGUCGUCUCAGCACCAUCUAAGAGAGAGAGAAGACGUUGACACCCAGAGCAGGAAGGCAGGCUUUCAGUGCCUUCUAGAACAGCAGUGAGAAACAUCCCAGACCCUGAGAGGAACCAUGCUGCAGCCUCUGCUCUGGGAGUCCAUAACCUCUGUCCCUGGGUCCAUCAUCCUCUGUUUACCGACCGUAUCUCUGUGUGUUGUGCUUUUACUGGUUCUACUGGUGAGGCAACGUCUGGGUAACGAGUCAAAUGAUAAGGAAGCCGAUUGUAUCACACAUGUACACAUGAAGUUCCUCGUGGGUGAACUUCAGAAAACCAUGUCGAGCAAAG